rnacentral:rRNA from 1 species
GAUGAACGCUGGCGGCGUGCCUAAUACAUGCAAGUCGAGCGAACGGACGAGAAGCUUGCUUCUCUGAUGUUAGCGGCGGACGGGUGAGUAACACGUGGAUAACCUACCUAUAAGACUGGGAUAACUUCGGGAAACCGUAGCUAAUACCGGAUAAUAUUUUGAACCGCAUGGUUCAAAAGUGAAAGACGGUCUUGCUGUCACUUAUAGAUGAAUCCGCGCUGCAUUAGCUAGUUGGUAAGGUAACGGCUUACCAAGGCAACGAUGCAUAGCCGAUCUGAGAGGGUGAUCGGCCACACUGGAACUGAGACACGGUCCAGACUCCUACGGGAGGCAGCAGUAGGGAAUCUUCCGCAAUGGGCGAAAGCCUGACGGAGCAACGCCGCGUGAGUGAUGAAGGUCUUCGGAUCGUAAAACUCUGUUAUUAGGGAAGAACAGAUGUGGAAGUAACUGUGCACAUCUUGACGGUACCUAAUCAGAAAGCCACGGCUAACUACGUG